rfam:Loxodonta africana unplaced genomic scaffold scaffold_78, whole genome shotgun sequence.
GGUGGUGCAGUGGUUAAGUGUUUGGCUGCUAACCAAAAGUUGGUGGUUCAAACCCACCAGCCACUU